rnacentral:rRNA from 1 species
UGGGGAAUUUUGGACAAUGGGCGAAAGCCUGAUCCAACAAUGCCGCGUGUGUGAAGAAGGCCUUCGGGUUGUAAAGCACUUUUGUCCGGAAAGAAAUCCUUGGCUCUAAUACAGUCGGGGGAUGACGGUACCGGAAGAAUAAGCACCGGCUAACUACGUGCCAGCAGCCGCGGUAAUACGUAGGGUGCAAGCGUUAAUCGGAAUUACUGGGCGUAAAGCGUGCGCAGGCGGUUUGCUAAGACCGAUGUGAAAUCCCCGGGCUCAACCUGGGAACUGCAUUGGUGACUGGCAGGCUAGAGUAUGGCAGAGGGGGGUAGAAUUCCACGUGUAGCAGUGAAAUGCGUAGAGAUGUGGAGGAAUACCGAUGGCGAAGGCAGCCCCCUGGGCCAAUACUGACGCUCAUGCACGAAAGCGUGGGGAGCAAAACAGGAUUAGAUACCCCUGGUAGUCCACGCCCUAAAACGAUGUCAACUAGUUGUUGGGGAUUCAUUUCCUUAGUAACGUAGCUAACGCGUGAAGUUGACCGCCUGGGGAGUACGGUCGCAAGAUUAAAACUCAAAGGAAUUGACGGGG